rnacentral:tRNA from 1 species
AUUUAUAUAGUUUAAAAUAAAACUUUUCAGUUUCAAUGAAAAGAUAAGAAAUAAUUCUUUAUAAAUA